rnacentral:rRNA from 1 species
GACGGAGGGUGCAAGCGUUGUUCGGAUUGACUGGGCGUAAAGGGCGUGUAGGCGGUCGGCCAAGUCUGAUGUGAAAGCCCGAGGCUUAACCUCGGGUCUGCAGUCGAUACGGGCUAGCUAGAGUGUGGUAGGGGGAGAUCGGAAUUCCUGGUGUAGCGGUGAAAUGCGCAGAUAUCAGGAGGAACACCGAUGGCGAAGGCAGCUCGCUGGGACGGUACUGACGCUGAGGCGCGAAAGCGUGGGGAGCAAACAGG